rnacentral:tRNA from 1 species
UCGCAGGGUGGAGUAGCGGCAACUCGCCGGCUUCAUACGCCGGAGAUCGCGGGUUCGAGUCCCGCCCCUGCUAU